rnacentral:rRNA from 1 species
AUUGAACGCUGGCGGCAGGCCUAACACAUGCAAGUCGAGCGGAUGAAGGGAGCUUGCUCCUGGAUUCAGCGGCGGACGGGUGAGUAAUGCCUAGGAAUCUGCCUGGUAGUGGGGGAUAACGUCCGGAAACGGGCGCUAAUACCGCAUACGUCCUGCGGGAGAAAGUGGGGGAUCUUCGGACCUCACGCUAUCAGAUGAGCCUAGGUCGGAUUAGCUAGUUGGUGGGGUAAAGGCCUACCAAGGCGACGAUCCGUAACUGGUCUGAGAGGAGGAUCAGUCACACUGGAACUGAGACACGGUCCAGACUCCUACGGGAGGCAGCAGUGGGGAAUAUUGGGCAGUGGGCGAAAGCCUUGUCCAGCCAUGCCGCGUGUGUGAAGAAGGUCUUCGGAUUGUAAAGCACUUUAAGUUGGGAGGAAGGGCAGUAAGUUAAUACCUUGCUGUUUUGACGUUACCAACAGAAUAAGCACCGGCUAACUUCGUG